GCAAAGAUAGCUUAAGACGAAAAAGCAAAGCACUGAAAAUGCUUUCAUAAAGGUUAAACUCCUUUUCUCAGCA
rnacentral:tRNA from 1 species